UAGAUUCAGGAAAUAUUGCUGAUUGCAAAGAUGCACAUAAAUUUAUGGGUAUCUUCUACUGCAACUUCAUGUUGAAAAUGCCAACUUCUAUAAGAUCAUAAAAACUUUUUUUUUUCAAUUACUUUGCAUGUUGUUCCCUGUAUAGCCAGUACAGUUGUUCUCAUUAGCUUUCUUUGUUUUGCAGGUAUAGAAAGUUUUAACACUUUCAUAUCUUUUCUCUCUUAGGUAUGGUAACAUAUGCUCCCAAUUCAGCCUUGGAACCCAUUUAGACCACAAACAGCUAUCAUUCUCUAAGUCAAGCAACCAUCUUGCCUUUGAAUAAUUAGUCUGAUAACUCUGAAUGCUAAAAGAAAUCUUUGAUUUGAAUUAGUGUUAUUUCACAUGUAAUUCAGCAUUAUUUUGACUUCUUUUUCCUGAGGCUGGUCACAUAAAGGUAUUUUCAAUGCCUUAGUUCAGUACAGGAAAAUGUCUUCAAAAUUUUAAACAUGUUAAUAGUGCAUAAGAUUUCUCUGAAAUAUUAUUUCCCAUCCAGAAGCUA